GACGAACGCUGGCGGCGUGCCUAAUACAUGCAAGUCGAGCGGACUUGACGGAGCUUGCUCCUGAUAGACAGCGGCGGACGGGUGAGUAACACGUGGGCAACCUGCCUGUAAGACUGGGAUAACUUCGGGAAACCGGAGCUAAUACCGGAUACGUUCCUUUCUCGCAUGAGAGAAGCUGGAAAGACGGUUUCGGCUGUCACUUACAGAUGGGCCCGCGGCGCAUUAGCUAGUUGGUGGGGUAAUGGCCCACCAAGGCGACGAUGCGUAGCCGACCUGAGAGGGUGAUCGGCCACACUGGGACUGAGACACGGCCCAGACUCCUACGGGAGGCAGCAGUAGGGAAUCUUCCGCAAUGGACGAAAGUCUGACGGAGCAACGCCGCGUGAGUGAAGAAGGUUUUCGGAUCGUAAAACUCUGUUGUCAGGGAAGAACAAGUGCCAUAGUAACUGAUGGUACCUUGACGGUACCUGACCAGAAAGCCACGGCUAACUACGUGCCAGCCGCCGCCGUAACAC
rnacentral:rRNA from 1 species